rnacentral:rRNA from 1 species
GGUGCAUGGCUGUCGUCAGCUCGUGUCGUGAGAUGUUGGGUUAAGUCCCGCAACGAGCGCAACCCUUAUUCUUAGUUGUUUCCCUUUGGGAUUACCCUCUAAGAAGACUGCCUCGGGAUAACGGGGAGGAAGGUGGGGAUGAUGUCAAGUCAGCAUGGCCUUUAUAUCCUGGGCUACACACACGCUACAAUGGCCAACACAAUAGGUUGCUAAGCCGCGAGGUGGCGCCAAUCCAUAAAGUUGGUCUCAGUUCAGAUUGUAGGCUGCAACCCGCCUGCAUGAAGAUGGAGUUGCUAGUAACCGCAGGUCAGCUAUACUGCGGUGAAUACGUUCCCGGGGCUU